GCUCUGUUAUCCUGGAUAGCUCAGAUGGUUAGAGCACGGUGCUGAUAAUGCUAAGGUUACAGGUUCAAUCCCUGUAUGGGACA
rnacentral:tRNA from 1 species